ensembl:lncRNA
CAUGUCCCAGCUCUUCAUUGCUUUUACCUGUUUAGAAAAGUUUUAAGUUGUUAGCCAAAUGGGUUUUAGUUUAGAUUGUGAGGUCUGGCUCCAGCCAACGGAGAUCAGACGCAGCAGUAAGGACAACCUCAAAUGCGUAAGGGAUAAAUUUGUGUGUUUUCCUUUGUUCAUUGUACUCUCGUGGCAAGAUGGCUAGCGAGGGUCCCCUUCCUGCAGUCCAGGAAGUAAAAACUGCGUUGCUGAAAGAUCCUUUGUCUCGUUGCUGAUUUUUCUUUGCAGCACUGAGCAUCUAUUUCCAACAACAUUGUACUUGGCUGUUUUCUAGUCGGCCUAAGCACAUUCUGAGCUUCUGGAAGAUUUUACUAGGUCAGCAGCUGCAGCUGAAAUGAGCCAAGAAUGCUCGCUCUGGGUGGCAAAGAAACACCGCAGGCUGGGAGCGCCGUCUCUUUACCGUCGUGGGCCACUUUCUCAGAGCGCACUGAGUUCACACAGAACCUACUCUGCCACCGCUUGUUUUAUUUUUAAAGGGACAUGGAUGAAUCUGGAGAACGUCAUCCUCAGCAAACUGACACAAGAACAGAAAACGAAACACCGCAUAUUCUCACUCAUAGGCGGUUGAUGAAAAAUGAGAACACAUGGACACAGAAAGGGGAGUACUAAACACUGGGUUCUAUUGGGGGGAAAUGGGGAGGGCCAGUGGGAGGGGGAGGUGGGGAGGGAUAGCCUGGGGAGAAAUGCCAAAUGUGGGUGAAGGGGAGAAAGAAAGCAAAACACACUGCCAUGUGUGUACCUAUGCAACUGUCUUGCAUGUUCUGCACAUGUACCCCCAAACCUAAAAUGCAAUAAAAAAUUUAAAAAAUUCCAUUUCUCUUUCUUAAAAAAAAAAAAAAAAAAAAGAAGAGCGGAAGACAAAGCUCUCACAGUUCUUGGUCAUUUUCUAGUUGCAAGCUGUGAUUUCUGAAGAAUCCUGUGGAAUCUUCUCCUUAUAGACACUCUUAACAAGCUAGCUAAAGUGAGUGUCUACUCCCUUCGUAGAAAAAAAAGAGGGGAAUGCAUCCUUAUUCUUAGAGCCAUGAUUGUCACCAUUAUCAUGUACUCAUCCAAAGAAAUGUUUCUUGACCUUCUGCUAUAUAGAGUUCUCUGCUGCACCCUGGGGAUAAAAUGAUAAACUAAACAGAGCCCUUGCCAUGCGAGGACCUGCCUCAGUCUAAUGGGAAAUGCACACAAGCAAACUGGCCACUACAGGCCAGUGUGAGAAGCAGUCAAAUGAAGGAUACAAUCUUGGCAGGCUGCCCAGUGAGGGCAGGCUUUCAAUGGGCCCCGGGGAUGAGUAGGAGUGUGUCAGCCAGGGCCAGGCUAAAGGCAGGAUAGGAUGGUGAGUGCUUCAGGCAGAAAGACAGUGCUGGAGACAGGCCAGUUAACCAUGACCAUUUUGGGCUCUGGGGCUAACAGUCCCGAUUAUAGACAUUUCUUGCUCUGUUACCUACAUUUCAUGCUAACAUAACAAAGAUCAGUUUUUACCCCGAUGCCUGGUGUUACAGACAGCUCAGUCAUGGCCUUAAUAUUAUUAACCAUUCUUAAUUAAAUAUAUUCUCCAGGUAGUACCUGAUGGCCAUACCUCUCCUUACAAACACUCUUGAAAUUUUAACACUCAGAAAUCUAAAACCAAUUAACAAUGUAUUGCUAAAGAUUUCUUUGGGAAAGUUUGGCUCUUUAGAAGGACUUAGCAAAGAGUAUUAAUUUAAGCUGUUUUGCUAUGUUAAAAUGUCAGCACACCAGUUACAGGCGUCCUCCUUCGGUGUGUGUCCUGGGAAUACAUACUAAGACAGCAUCACGUGUUUAUGGUCCUUCUGUGUAUGAUUGAUCAGAUUAUUUUUCAUCAAAAUGUACCCCCCCAUUCUAUUCUGUUCCUUCUGACAAAAAUGCUAGGAUUCUUUCCAAGGGAAGACUUCUGUUGUCUUGGUCUCAGCCACUGAAGGACUUUUGUCGUUGCUGGUUCCAUUCAAGUGCAAUGACAAAUUACUGAGGUCAGUUGACAAUUCCUGUCUGAGGUCCAUGAUGGAAUGUUCUAGAACUCAAUUCUUCAGGCUCCCUCCUUGGUUUAUCUCUUAGUUCUUUCUAUUAUUCUCUUGAUUUCCUAAUUAAUGAAAAAAACUUGUUUUUUUUUUUUUACAAAACAAUUUUUUAAAAUAGAGUCUAUUUAGUGAGAACAAUGCUUGUGCUAAUUGAGAUGUUACUGAAAUGUUUUGAUAUUAAAAAGUAAUGACUUUUAGAUAGAAAAGAGCCCCACUGGUGACUGCAUCUAAACCAUUUGUAGUGAAAAAUUACAACCUUUCUCCAGUGACCUAUGUGAUGUUAGACUGCUGUGUAAUAGCUUCAAGCCUCAGUUUUCUCAAGCAUAAAAGUGGCUUAUUAGACUGGAUUAUCUGAAAGGUGUCUGCCCACUCCAAAAUGCUAUGACUCUUUACAAUGUAGGAAAGAGAGACUGAGGAGCUUGCCUGAGGCACACUCUGCUGCCAAAAGGAUGCUACCCAGCCUCAGAGUUGUAAGCCCAAGCUUCUUUCCACUUUCUAAGGUGUUAAAUAGUUUGUUUAUGACUAAAGUUCUAUCCUAGGCACUGUUUUUAUUGUUAUUCAAAACACAACUGCAAUCAAUAUUUGUCAGAUACAAAGGGCAGCAACAUGAGAAAAAUGAUUUUCUAAAUGGUCCCCAGAUUCUUAGUACAAGCCCUGACUAAGGCUGUAUUUAGAAUACUCAUAAGCUCCAUUUGCUAUGAUGACAUGCCUUUCUCUCUUUUUUGUAGUGACCUUCAUAGUUAUAAUAGAUAGGUUCUAAUAUUUUCAUUUUAGGUAGUAGUACAGCAAUAUAAAUUAACUCAUUUGUUCCCAGAGAAUGUGCCAUGAUCUCAUCACUGAGAGUAAACAAACAGCUUAUCUGAAAUGUUUGCUGAGGAGUUUGAGAGAGACGGUGCUGUCAAGCAUGUUAGGAGUGGCUGGGAAGGUUGUUGGCUGGGAAUAGUUGGAAAGAAUUGGAGGGUGGCUGGGUAGAAGUUGGAGGGGGCAAUUGGAAGCACAGUUGGGGAUAUAAAUUUGAGUCUAGAGAAUUUAGAUGCCUGUAUACACCAAGCCAACUAUAAUUUGGAAUUUAUAACUGUAUAGCAAUAUGGAGAUGAAGGUCAAUUUAAUUUAAGUGGACACUUCAGAAUACAGACUCAAAGGGUAACCAAGAUUUCAGGGAUGAUGAUCAACCUGUACUUAGAGGGCCCCUGUUGUAGCCCCCUUCCCACCAUGCUCCUCCUUACCAGGUGAGCAGUCUGUGAACAAAACAGUAGUGCUCAUCUGUACCCCCUCCCUCACUUUCUUGACCUCAUUCUAGGUAACCAAGGCCCUGGUAUUCCCUGUCCACACAGCCUUGAUCUUGCUUCCAAGCUCUGUAAAGAUGUUUUUCUCAGAUUUGUCCUAUGAAGGGUACCUAUACCUCUGGUGCAUGUGUCCCCAGGCCAUAAGGGUGGCUGCAGUUUGGCUGUUUAUAGAUAUAAGCAGUGAUUGAAGCUUGGCUGAGAGGGCAGGGGUGUUCACACAUAGGUGGGCACAUGAGUAAUUUUGAGAGCUUAAAGAAUUUUUAAACUUGAAGUUGGCCUUUUAAGUCAUUUGAAGGUAUAUUUGCCAAAGUAGUAUAG